rnacentral:rRNA from 1 species
UACGUAGGGGGCAAGCGUUGUCCGGAUUUAUUGGGCGUAAAGAGCUCGCAGGUGGUUCGGUAAGUCGGAUGUGAAAUCUCCAGGCUCAACCUGGAGGGGUCAUUCGAUACUGCCGUGACUAGAGGUCGGUAGGGGAGUGUGGAAUUCCUGGUGGAGCGGUGAAAUGCGCAGAUAUCAGGAGGAACACCCGUAGCGAAGGCGGCACUCUGGGCCGAUACUGACACUGAGGAGCGAAAGCGUGGGGAGCGAACAGG